UACGUAGGGUGCAAGCGUUAAUCGGAAUUACUGGGCGUAAAGCGUGCGCAGGCGGUUUUGUAAGUCUGUCGUGAAAUCCCCCGGGCUCAACCUGGGAAUUGCGAUGGAGACUGCAAGGCUAGAAUCUGGCAGAGGGGGGUAGAAUUCCACGUGUAGCAGUGAAAUGCGUAGAGAUGUGGAGGAACACCGAUGGCGAAGGCAGCCCCCUGGGUCAAGAUUGACGCUCAUGCACGAAAGGCGUGGGGAGCAAACG
rnacentral:rRNA from 1 species